UUGCCCUUUGCCUUGUGAUCUUUGUUGGACCCUUAUCAGUAGUUCUGCUUUUGCCCUUUGUCGUGUUCCCUGAGAAGCAUGUGAUCUUUAUUAGACCCUUAUUAGUAGUUACGCUUUUUACCCUUUGAAGCAUGUGAUCUUUGUACCUACUCCCUGUUCUUACAACCCCUCCCCUUUUGAAAUCCUUAAUAAAAACUUGCUGGUUUGAGGCUCAGGCGGGCAUCACGGUCCUACCGACAUGUGAUGUCAUGCCCAGAGGCCCAGCUGUAAAAUUCCUCUCUUUAUACUGCUGCCUUUAUUUCUCAGCCGGCCAACACUUACGGAAAAUAGAACCUACAUUGAAAUUCCUGUUUCCACUCUGGCUGGAAAAGUAUAAUGUUGGUUCGAGAUCAAGAAGGAAUCUGGAUACCAUGUGCCAGACCAGUCAAAGAAUCCUGUGUCAAAACUGGGAGAACGAACAAGCCUUCAUCGCCAUGGCACAUUUAUAUAAAAAGAAAGGGAGAGAUGUUGCGGGAAGUCAGGGACCCCAAACGGAGGGACCGGCUGGAGCUGCGGCAGAGGAACAUAAAUUGUGAAGAUUUCAUUUUAAUAUGGACAUUUAUCAGUUCCCAAAUAAUACUUUUAUAAUUUUUUAUGCCUGUCUUUAAUCUCUUAAUCCUGUUAUCUUUGUAAGCUGAGGAUGUACGUCACCUCAGGACCACUGUGAUAAUUGUGUUAACUGUACAAAUUGAUUGUAAAACAUGUGUGUUUGAACAAUAUGAAAUCAGUGCACCUUGAAAAAGAACAGAAUAACAGCGAUUUUUAGGGAACAAGGGAAGACAACCAUAAGGUCUGACUGCCUGCGGGGUCAGGCAGAAUACAGCCAUAUUUUUCUUCUUGCAGAGAGCCUAUAAAUGGAUGUGCAAAUAGGAGAGGUAUCGCUAAAUUAUUUUCCUAGCAAGGAAUAUUACAUAUUAAGACCCUAGGAAAAGAAUUGCAUUCCUAGGGGGAGGUCUAUAAACGGCCGCUCUGGGAAUGUCUGUCUUAUGCGGUUGAGAUAAGGACUGAGAUACGCCCUGGUCUCCUACAGUACCCUCAGGCUUACUAGAGUGGGAAAAAACUCCGCCCUGGUAAAUUUGUGGUCAGACCAGUUCUCUGCUCUCAAACCCUGUUUUCUGUUGUUUAAGAUGUUUAUCAAGAUAAUACGUGCACCGCUAAACAUAGAACCUUAUCAGUAGUUCUGCUUUUGCCCUUUGCCUUGUGAUCUUUGUUGGACCCUUAUCUGUUGUGGGAAGUCAGGCACCCCGAACAGAGGGACCAGCUGGAGCCGUGGCAGAGGAACAUAAAUUAUGAAGAUUUCGUGGACAUAUAUCAGUUCCUAAAAUUAAUACUUUUAUAAUUUCUUAAGCCUGUCUUUACUGCAAUCUCUGAACAUAAACUGUGAAGAUUUCAUGGACAUUUAUCACUUCCCUAAUAAUACUCUCAUAAUUUCUUAUGCCUGUCUUACUUUAAUCUUUUAAUCCCGUUAUCUUCGUAAGCUGAGGAUGUACAUCACCUCGGGACCCUGUGAUGAUUGCGUUAACUGUACAAACUGAUUGUAAAACAUGUGUGUUUGAACAAUAUGAAAUCAGUGCACCUUAAAAAAGAACAGAAUAACAGCGAUUUUAGGGAACAAUGCAAGACAACCAUAAGGUCUGACUGCCUGCGGGGUCAGGCAGAAUACAGCCAUAUUUUUCUUCUUGCAGAGAGCCUAUAAAUGGACGUGCCAAGUAGGAGAGAUACCACUAAAUUCUUUUCCUAGCAAGUAAUAUUAAAUAUUAAGACCCUAGGAAAAGAAAUGCAUUCCUAGGGGGAGGUCUAUAAACGGCCGCUCUGGGAGUGUCUGUCCUAUGCGGUUGAGAAAAGGACUGAGAUACACUCUGGUCUCCUGCAGUACCCUCAGGCUUACUAGGAUUGGGAAACACCAGCCCUGGUAAAUUUCAGGUCAGACUGGUUCUCUGCUCUCGAACCCUGUUUUCUGUUAAGAUGUUUAUCAAGAUAAUACGUGCACUGCUGAACACAGACCCUUAUCAGGAGUUUCUGAUUUUGCCUUGUCCUGUUUCCUCAGAAGCAUGUGAUCUUUGCUCUGCUUUUUUGCCCCUUAAAGCAUGUAAUCUUUUCCCUGUUCAUACACUCCCUCCCCUUUUGAAAUCCCUAAUAAAAACUUGUUGGUUUUGAGGCUCAGGGGGCAUCAUGGACCUACCAAUAUGUGAUGUCAUCUCCGGCAGCCCAGCUGUAAAAUUCCUCUCUUUGUACUCUUUCUCUUUAUUUCUCAGACCGGCUGACACUUAGGGAAAAUAGAAAGAACCUACGUUGAAAUAUUGGGGGUGGGUUCCCCCGAUACUUAUCAGUAGUUCUGCUUUUGCCCUUUGUCCUGUUCCCUCAGAAGCAUGUGAUCUUUGUUAGACCCUUAUCAGUAGUUCUGCUUUUUGCCCUUUGAAGCAUGUGAUCUUUGUACCUACUACCUGUUCUUACACCCCCUUCCCUUUUGAAACCCUUAAUAAAAACUUGCUGGUUUGAGGCUCAGGCAGGCAUCACAGUCCUACCAAUAUGUGAUGUCACCUCCGGCGGCCCAGCUGUAAAAUUCUUCUCUUUAUACUGUCUCUCUUUAUUUCUCAGCUGGCCGACACUUAUGGAAAAUAGAACCUACGUUGAAAUAUUGGGGGCGGGUUCCCCCAAUAUGGGAGGAUUGCUUGAGCCCAGGAAAUCGAGGCUACAGUGAGCCAUGAGGAAAAGGGAAGAGAAAAAGGAAUGGGAAGGGAAAGGGAAAGGAAAGAAAGGAAGGAGAAAAUAAGAAAAGGAAAGGAAAAAGAGAAAAAAGGAAGGGGAAGGAAGGAUCUUAUGAAAGAAUACCUAUAAUAUGAAUCAAUUAUAUGAAGUUCAGAAACAAGCCAAACUAAUUUUAUCAGUUAAUAGAGAAUACAUUGGUGGUACGACUAAAAAUUAAAAAGAAAAAAUAUUACAAAAAGCAGCAUGUUGCUUAUUUGGGGGGUGGCUAUUGUGAGCCGGGAGAGGCACACAAAGGUGUGUUGCUUGUAUGCUGGCCAUAUUUCUUUUUUUCUUUUGAGACGGAGUCUCAUUCUGUUGCCCAGGCUGGAG
rnacentral:lncRNA from 1 species